UGGGGAAUCUUGCGCAAUGGGCGAAAGCCUGACGCAGCCAUGCCGCGUGAAUGAUGAAGGUCUUAGGAUUGUAAAGUUCUUUAGCCUGUGACGAUGAUGACGGUAACAGGAGAAUAAGCCCCGGCUAACUUCGUGCCAGCAGCCGCGGUAAUACGAAGGGGGCUAGCGUUGUUCGGAAUUACUGGGCGUAAAGCGCGCGUAGGCGGUUUUACAAGCCAGAGGUGAAAUGCCUGAGCUUAACUUGGGAAUUGCCUUUGGAACUGUAUGACUUUGAGGACGAGAGAGGUGAGUGGAAUUCCCAGUGUAGAGGUGAAAUUCGUAGAUAUUGGGAAGAACACCGGUGGCGAAGGCGGCUCACUGGCUCGUUUCUGACGCUGCAGCGCGAAAGCGUGGGGAUCAA
rnacentral:rRNA from 1 species